GAUGAACGCUGGCGGCGUGCCUAAUACAUGCAAGUCGAGCGAACAGAUAAGGAGCUUGCUCCUUUGACGUUAGCGGCGGACGGGUGAGUAACACGUGGAUAACCUACCUAUAAGACUGGGAUAACUUCGGGAAACCGGAGCUAAUACCGGAUAACAUAUUGAACCGCAUGGUUCAAUAGUGAAAGGCGGCUUUGCUGUCACUUAUACAUGGAUCCGCGCCGUAUUAGCUAGUUGGUAAGGUAACGGCUUACCAAGGCAACGAUACGUAGCCGACCUGAGAGGGUGAUCGACAACACUGGAACUGAGACACGGUCAAGACUCCUACGGGAGGCAGCAGUAGGGAAUCUGCCGCAAUGGGAGAAAGCCUGACGGAGCAACGCCGCGUGAGUGAUGAAGGUCUUCGGAUCGUAAAACUCUGUUAUCAGGGAAGAACAAAUGUGUAAGUAACUGUGCACAUCUUGACGGUACCUGAUCAGAAAGCCACGGCUAACUACGUG
rnacentral:rRNA from 1 species